GGGGCAUAUUGGACAAUGGGCGAAAGCCUGAUCCAGCAAUGCCGCGUGAGUGAUGAAGGCCUUAGGGUUGUAAAGCUCUUUCGCCUGAGACGAUGAUGACGGUAUCAGGAGAAGAAGCCCCGGCUAAUUCCGUGCCAGCAGCCGCGGUAAUACGGAAGGGGCUAGCGUUGUUCGGAAUUACUGGGCGUAAAGCGCGCGCAGGCGGUUAGACAAGUGAGGCGUGAAAGCCCUGGGCUCAACCUGGGAAUUGCGCUUCAGACUGUUUGACUGGAGUUCGGGAGAGGGUGGUGGAAUUCCCAGUGUAGAGGUGAAAUUCGUAGAUAUUGGGAGGAACACCGGUGGCGAAGGCGGCCGCCUGGCCCGUAACUGACGCUAAAGCGCGAAAGCGUGGGGAGCAAAC
rnacentral:rRNA from 1 species